UUGAUACAUUUGAUCAUGAAUAAUAGCUUAGGCAUUUGCUGUUAGAACAUGACAAAAUAUUUUUUGAACCUCACAUGAUCAUUGAUGAAGAAAAUGAUAGUUUUUUCUGCACCCAUCCACAGAAACUUGAAAGUAUCCAAAUAUUUCCUGCCUCGAAUAGAGGAAAUAUUAUCUAAAAGCAGAAAGGAGUAAAUUUUUUGGACACGAUUAAAAAUACACAUUCCCCUUUUUUGGUCUCUCUAUGAAAUUUCCUGAUAUUAAUAUUGUGAAGAUGAGUAAUGAGGGGUUUGUUUUUUUGAAUUAUGGUAUUAGUUUCUGUCAACUCUGUUCUGCAUCUUUUGCAAGUGCUUUUAUAAUCUUAUCCUAGGUUCAAUAUUCAUACUUAGUCUAGCAUUAAUACUAAUUUCAGCGAACUUAUUUUAGCCUCUUGUCACUGGCACUUAAAAAUGUUAUACUGCUCUGUUAUGACUUAUUGCAUAUUUGAACUGGUUCAAAUUUGACACUCUUUUUUUGAAACAAACUUACACUUUUUGUAGGUUAUGUGAAUUGUUAUGUCAAAGAAAAUAUAGAUCUGUUAAUUGCAUUGUUAAAGCAUAUCUCUGAAUCAAGAGACAAUGCAAAGAAACGGGAGUUUGGCUUUAGAGAAACAAAGGUCGAAACCAUGUUCUGAAUGCGAGUGGGCUGUUAGAGAAACAAAGGUGGAUAUCAUGUUCUGAAUGUGAGUGGGCUUAGUGCAACAAUGUGAAAGGCUUCAAGGAAAUGGAAUUUCUUAUGCAAUCCUGUUCAAUAAAUAUCUAUUUCUGAAUUUACAUGUUCUAUAGCUGCUUUGAAUCUGCAUGUUUGCUUGGGCGGGCGCUGCUUCGGGUCGACGCCGCCGUCGCGGCUCCUCCACACCAUGGCCGACGUAUGCUCGGCGGCGGCCUCCGACGAAACCCUAGCUGGGAGUGUUCCCAGCCGAGGAAGACCGAAGACCAAGCCACGACUGGGGAAGAUAUUGGUGAAUUAUCCAUGAUUAUUAAAAUAAAUAGUACACCUGGAUAUGGAUGCUAUUUGGAUGCCAAGUGACAUGGUUUGAAUGGGGCAAGAUAGGUGCAUGGUAUCAUGAAGAGGCCAUGCUUUUGUGUGGGGUAAGAUUUGAGUUGAUCAUGGCUGUUGAAUAUUCAUUUUAAUUGCACUUGAUGGGUCUGCAAUUUUUAGUUGCAGAGAAGUGCCGUAGUUGACAAACCAGGUGUUUUUGGUGCUUGACUACUCACAGUAACAUUUGUUCUUGAGCUAUUUUUUGCAUCAUGGGGAACUAUAUAUCUGGCUAUGUGUCACGGUCUAUUGAUAUAACUGAAAAUACAUGUUCCUUCUUUGUCGUGUGUUUACUGUGUUAGAUUGUUAUAUACUUCGGCUCUCUGCUAUGUAAAAUAAAUGCUAUCAAAAGAGACAUGGUGUGGUCUCGCUGCUACAAUCUCCAAAUUCCGUUGUUUCAAUUGUAUAUGAUCUUACACUUGUUAUUUCGGAGAUACACUAUGGAAUCAUAUCAUGUGCUUGCAGAGAGCAAUACUGUUGUGUUUCUUCUCAAAAGAUUGUUGGACUCCAUUCAGGUCUACAUGCCUGUAUGAUCUUGUUUUCAUUUAAUACCUAUAUCUCUUUCAUUCAAUUCUUAUGUUGCCUUUCAACUCCAAGAUCUGCCUGGUACAGAACUGAUCCAAUAUUUAUUCUGCUGCCGUAUACUGUGCCUCUGAACAGAAUUUCAACAAUAGUGGUGCUAGGAGAGAGCCAGUAUUUUUCCAUUUACUCAUCCAGUGGAGGUCUCGCAACAGGAGUAGUAUUAAGCUUGGUGAAGUAUAUUAUGUUAGUGGACGAACAAAAUACCAUGGAUGUCUUUGCUAUUUUGGAGGCAAUUCUUUUUGUGGGUUCACCUCUUGUGAUUAUCUAUAUGAGACAUGCGUAGUAUUUUGGUAGAUUCAAUUGUUACAGAAAAAAGGAUAUUUUGGCAGUAUUUCUUCAGCUCCAUUGAAUAGGUAUGGUUAUUUUAAAAUUUCGCAGUGACAACCAUUUGUGUCCUUUUUAUGGUUAAGAGUAACCUAUUUGUUCACUUUCUUGACAGAGUGAGCAAUUUGAAUUUUUUUCUCGUCAUGUGCUUGAUGAAUUGCUUAUAAAUGCAUAAAAGAAAAUAUUAACAGAUCCCAGAUCACCUUAAGUACUCAGUAUGCUUAGACUAUACGGCUACUCUCUAUAACUACUGUUAAGUAGAAGUCCUACAUGUGAUCCUCCUGUUAUAGAAAGGGUGGUUACUACAUCUGUAGCUUUGUGCUUAAUCUGUGGUUUUGCAUCUUUUUUCGCCCCCUUCUUAAAUUUCAUAGUGAUAAUAUUGAUUGCUCAUGUUAUGUCUAGCAGCAAGGCGUCGGUGUAGGCUUGCAACGGUGGUGACAGAAGGCAGGCUGUGAUUGAUCUUGAGAUUGCCUUGACCCCUGUGUCGUAGCGGCUGCUGAUUAGAAGAUCUCUAUCUUGAGAAUUCAAGGACCCCUGGGUUGAGGAGGACUCGGCCGGGGAAUGCAUUCGUUGCUGGAAGCUACUAUUUAACAGGGACACAAGUAACAACAGGAUUCCACAUUUGAAUAAGGAUUGGAACGUGAAUGUCGACGCGAGCUCAAUACACUAUGAUCUGACCAUCCAACCGUGUUUGACCCUUCCAGGUUCA